rnacentral:rRNA from 1 species
UGAGCGAUAAGGUCCAUUGUCGAAAGGGGAACAGCCCAGAUCACCAGUUAAGGUCCCUAAAUUUAUGCUAAGUGGAAAAGGAUGUGGCGUUGCACAGACAACUAGGAUGUUGGCUCAGAAGCAGCCACCAUUUAAAGAGUGCGUAAUAGCUCACUAGUCGAGUGGCACUGCGCCGAAAAUAUACCGGGGCUAAGCAUAAUACCGAAACUGUGGGUGCACCCGUCAGGGUGCGCGGUAGGAGAGCGUUCUAAGGGCGUUGAAGGUCGAUCGUGAGGACGGCUGGAGCGCUUAGAAGUGAGAAUGCCGGCAUGAGUAGCGAAAGAUCAGUGAGAAUCUGAUCCACCGUAUGACUAAGGUUUCCUGGGGAAGGCUCGUCCUCCCAGGGUUAGUCGGGAUCUAAGGCGAGGCCGCAAGGCGUAGUCGAUGACAAGCAGGUUGAGAUUCCUGCACUAGUUUAUUUUGUUUAAGCGAUGGAGGGACGCAGGAGGCUAAGGAAAGCGCACGGCUGGAAAAGUGCGUCCAAGCAGUAAGUCCGGUAGCGAGUGAAAUGCUUGCCGCCUUAAGGACAAGCUGUGAUGGGGAGCGAAAUUAAAGUAGCGAAGUUCCUGAUGUCACACUGCCAAGAAAAGCUUCUAGUGAGAAAUAAACUACCCGUACCGCAAACCGACACAGGUAGUCGAGGAGAGUAUCCUCAGGUGAGCGAGCGAACUCUCGUUAAGGAACUCGGCAAAAUGACCCCGUAACUUCGGAAGAAGGGGUGCUGACCGCAAGGUCAGCCGCAGUGAAUAGGCCCAAACAACUGUUUAUCAAAAACACAGGUCUCUGCUAAAUCGUAAGAUGAUGUAUAGGGGCUGACGCCUGCCCGGUGCUGGAAGGUUAAGAGGAUGAGUUAGCGCAAGCGAAGCCCAGAAUUGAAGCCCCAGUAAACGGCGGCCGUAACUAUAACGGUCCUAAGGUAGCGAAAUUCCUUGUCGGGUAAGUUCCGACCCGCACGAAAGGCGUAAUGAUUUGGGCACUGUCUCAACGAGAGACUCGGUGAAAUUAUAGUACCCGUGAAGAUGCGGGUUACCCGCGACAGGACGGAAAGACCCCAUGGAGCUUUACUGUAGCUUGAUAUUGAGUGUUGGUACCGCUUGUACAGGAUAGGUAGGAGCCGUAGAGAUCGGAACGCUAGUUUCGAUGGAGGCAUUGGUGGGAUACUACCCUAGCUGUAUGAACACUCUAACCCGCGCCACUGAUCGUGGCGGGAGACAGUGUCAGGUAGGCAGUUUGACUGGGGCGGUCGCCUCCUAAAAUGUAACGGAGGCGCCCAAAGGUUCCCUCAGAAUGGUUGGAAAUCAUUCGCAGAGUGUAAAGGUAGAAGGGAGCUUGACUGCGAGACUGACAAGUCGAGCAGGGACGAAAGUCGGGCUUAGUGAUCCGGUGGUUCCGUAUGGAAGGGCCAUCGCUCAACGGAUAAAAGCUACCCUGGGGAUAACAGGCUUAUCUCCCCCAAGAGUCCACAUCGACGGGGAGGUUUGGCACCUCGAUGUCGGCUCAUCGCAUCCUGGGGCUGUAGUCGGUCCCAAGGGUUGGGCUGUUCGCCCAUUAAAGCGGUACGCGAGCUGGGUUCAGAA